UACAGAGGGUGCAAGCGUUAAUCGGAUUUACUGGGCGUAAAGCGUGCGUAGGCGGUUCAUUAAGUCGGUUGUGAAAUCCCUGGGCUUAACCUGGGAACUGCAGUCGAUACUGGUGAACUAGAAUGCGGUAGAGGGUGGCGGAACUCCGGGUGUAGCGGUGAAAUGCGUAGAUAUCCGGAGGAACACCGAUGGCGAAGGCAACCACCUGGGCCUGCAUUGACGCUGAGGUACGAAAGCGUGGGGAGCAAACAGG
rnacentral:rRNA from 1 species